GCAAUGGUUUGGUAGCAAAGACGUCACAGGGACCGCGAGGGGGCGGCGCAGAGCGGGGGGUGGGGGAGGGGGAGGGGCGGGGGAGGGGCGCCGGCGCGGCGGGAAAUCUAAGUGGGGGGCGUUCGGCCGGUGGGGGAGGGGCGGAGAUGGGGGGGGGGGCGUGGGGGCGGGGUCGUCGAUGAUGACGUCGUUGGGUCAUCGAUGGGGUCGUUGGGUCAUCGACGGCGCCAUUGGGUCAUCAAUGACAUCGUUGGGUCAUCGAUGGGGUCAUUGGGUCACCAACGGGGUCGUUGGGUCAUCGAUGACAUUGUUGGGUCAUCAACGACGCCAUUGGGUCAUCGAUGGGGUUGUUGAUGACAUCAUUGGGUCAUCAUUGACGUCAUUGGGUCAUCGAUGGUGUCCUCGAUGACGUCAUGGGGUCAGUGAUGAUGUCAUGGGGUCAUCGAUGACGUCAUUGGGUAAUUGAUGAGGUCAUCGAUGACGUCAUUGGGUUAUCGAUGGGGUCAUCGAUGAGGUCAUUGGGUCAUCAAUGACAUCAUGGGGUCAUUGAUGAUGUCAUCAGGUGGGUGGGCAGUUGCCCAGUUGGGCGUGGCCUGGGUCACCACUGGUCAGCCCUUACUGGUCACUCAUUGGUGGUCACCACUGGUCAGUUACUGGUCACUCAUUGGUGGUCACUCAUUGGUGGUCAGCACUGGUCAGUUACUGGUCACUCAUUGGUGGUCAGCACUGGUCAGUUACUGGUCACUCAUUGGUGGUCAGCACUGGUCAGUUACUGGUCACUCAUUGGUGGUCAGCACUGGUCAGUUACUGGUCACUCAUUGGUGGUCAGCACUGGUCAGUCAUUACUGGUCAGUUUGGUCAUCACUGGUCAGCCAUUACUGGUCCUUACUGGUCAGUUCGGUCGUUAGCGCUCAUUACUGGUCAGUUUGGUCAUUACCGGUCAGUUUGGUCAUUACCGGUCAGUUUGGCCAUCACUGGUCAGUUGUCACUGGUCAGUCGUCACUGGUCAGUUUGGUCACCACUGGUCAGUUUGGCCAUCACCGGUCAGUUGUCAUUGGUCAGUCGUUACUGGUCAGUCAUUACCGGUCAUCACUGGUCAGUUUGGCCAUUACUGGUCAGUCGUUACUGGUCAGUCGUUACCGGUCAUCACCGGUCAGUUUGGUCAUCACCGGUCAGUCGUCACCGGUCAGUCGUUCCCGGUCAUCUCCGGUCACUCGGCGUCGCCGUUGUCCUGGACUGGUCAGUUGGGUGGGGGAGGGGCCGAUGGACAGGGAGGGGCUUUGGCCGGAGAGUGACCGGCGGGAGAGGGGAGCGGUCAGCCAGUGGUUAAACUGGUUAAACUGGUCAGCGAUGGGUUAACCAGCUGGGUACUGGUUAAACUGGUUGGGGAUGGGUUAACCAGUUGGGUGGGGGAUGGGUUAACCAGCUGGGUACUGGUUAAACUGGUCAGCGAUGGGUUAACCAGUUGGGUGGGGGAUGGGUUAACCAGCUGGGUGGGGGAUGGGUUAACCAGCUGGGUGGGGGAUGGGUUAACCAGCUGGGUACUGGUUAAACUGGUCAGCGAUGGGUUAACCAGUUGGGUACUGGUUAAACUGGUCGGUGAUGGGUUAACCAGCUGGGUACUGGUUAAACUGGUCGGCGAUGGGUUAACCAGUUGGGUGGGGGAUGGGUUAACCAGUUGGGUGGGGGAUGGGUUAACCAGUUGGGUGGGGGAUGGUCGGACGGGUCGGGUGUGAUGGCACCGGCGCGGUGAGAAUGGGCCGAUGGCCCCGCCCCCACCCAGCUGGGAUUGGCCAACCCAACUCAACCCAAAGAAAACCAACUCAACCCAACCCAAGUUAACUCAACCCAACUCAACCAACCCAAAUCAACUCAACCCAACCCAACCCAACCAACUCAACCCAACCCAAAUAAAACCAACCCAACUCAA